CAAAUUUUUUGAUCAUAUUGAUAAAACUGUUAAGUUAUUUUAACAAGGGAAUUGUGCUGCCCAUGAGUUGUAGAGCUGCAUGAAUGACAAGGCUGAGGCAAGAGGAAAAUUAAAACCUAACUAGGUUACUGACCUCCAAGAGAAACUCAUGCUAAAAUAUGUGAGCAGACUGGGUACUUGAGAGGAGAAGGAAUGUAACAAAGGAAGCCAUACUGCCUGGUUUGGGAUGAGUGCAAGCACAAGUAUAUCACGGUUGCUCUAAAAGCAUUGGAGCAGGUCAGCAGUAGAUGAAAAGCAUUGCCAAGAAGGGGAAAACAAA